rfam:Gossypium hirsutum cultivar TM-1 chromosome 4, whole genome shotgun sequence
CACACCAGCGCGCUUUGCUGAUGUGGACACAAACCGCACUUACGUGGAUGCGAUUUGUUGCCACGUCAUCAAACCGCGCUGACGUGG